rnacentral:tRNA from 1 species
GGAGAAAUGGCUGAGGGGUUUAAAGCGGUAGACUGUAAAUCUAUUGAAUUUAUUUUCAUCGUAGGUUCGAAUCCUACUUUCUCCU